rnacentral:rRNA from 1 species
AUUGAACGCUGGCGGCAUGCUUUACACAUGCAAGUCGAACGGAGUGGCGCACGGGUGGGUAAUUUAUAGCUAAUCUGCCCUCCACUAGAGGACAACAGUUGGAAACGGCUGCUAAUAAUCUAUACUGUAGGUUGGGGCUAUAUUGUUUCAGCUAGUUGGUGAGGUAAUGGCUGACCAAGGGUAUGACGCAUAACUGGUCAGAGAGGAUGGUCAGUAAACCCGGAACUGAGACACGGUCCGGACUCCUACGGGAGGCAGCAGUAGGGAAUAGUGCUCAAGGGGGGAAACCCUGAAGCGGCAACGCGGCGUGGAGGAUGAUACUCUGCGGAGAGGAAACUCCUUUUGUUAGGGAAGCGGUACCUAACGAAGAAGCACCGGCUAACUCCGUGCCAGCAGCCGCGGUAAUAC